UCAGUUCGGAUCGGAGUCUGCAACCCGACUCCGUGAAGCUGGAUUCGCUAGUAAUCGCGCAUCAGCCAUGGCGCGGUGAAUACGUUCCCGGGCCUUGUACACACCGCCCGUCAAGCCAUGGAAGCCGGGGUGCCUGAAGUGUGCAGCCGCAAGGAGCGCCCUAAGGUAAAACCGGUGACUGGGCUAAGUCGUAACAAGGUAAC
rnacentral:rRNA from 1 species